rnacentral:rRNA from 1 species
CUGGUCUGUACUGACGCUGAGCUCGAAAGUAUGGGUAGCAAACAGGAUUAGAUACCUGGUAGUCCAUACCGUAAACGAUGAAUGCUAAGUGUUGGAGGGUUUCCCCCUUCAGUGCUGCAGCUAACGCAUUAAGCAUUCCGCUGGGGAGUACGGCCGCAAGGCUGAAACUCAAAGGAAUUGACGGGGGCCCGCACAAGCGGUGGAGCAUGUGGUUUAAUUCGAAGCUACGCGAAGAACCUUACCAGGUCUUGACAUACUAUGCAAAUCUAAGAGAUUAGACGUUCCCUUCGGGGACAUGGAUACAGGUGGUGCAUGGUUGUCGUCAGCUCGUGUCGUGAGAUGUUGGGUUAAGUCCCGCAACGAGCGCAACCCUUAUUAUCAGUUGCCAGCAUUAAGUUGGGCACUCUGGUGAGACUGCCGGUGACGAACCGGAGGAAGGUGGGGAUGACGUCAAAUCAUCAUGCCCCUUAUGACCUGGGCUACACACGUGCUACAAUGGAUGGUACAACGAGUUGCGAACUCGCGAGAGUAAGCUAAUCUCUUAAAGCCAUUCUCAGUUCGGAUUGUAGGCUGCAACUCGCCUACAUGAAGCCGGAAUCGCUAGUAAUCGCGGAUCAGCAUGCCGCGGUGAAUACGUUCCCGGGCCUUGUACACACCGCCCGUCACACCAUGAGAGUUUGUAACACCCAAAGUCGGUGGGGUAACCUUUAGGAACCAGCCGCCUAAGGUGGGACAGAUGAUUAGGGUGAAGUCGUAACAAGGUAACCA